AAUCAUAUAUUCUCCACCUUUUUUCUGUAUGCUGUUAUAUUUUUAUUUCCUAGAUCAAUGCUGAGUUCACAAGAAUUACAACUGUCCCCUUGGAGACAAAGUUCUUGGCACAGUUAGACAAGCACUCCACCAAAUUGCUGGAAGUCAUUAAGCACAAUGGAGGAGCUGUAAAAGAGAAGACCACCAGGAUCUUGCAGGUUUUAGAUGAGACUAUGGACAUCAAUGUCAAAAGAGAAUGCAUCCUCAAAUCUCUGAUGAUCUACUUGGGUGAACCUGUUCAGCACCUUAUCAAAGAAUACCAGGUAAGAGCAUCUCUUUCUCACUCGCUGGCAGACCACAACACCUACAGACCCACCCUCAUGUACUGUUUCAGACUGUAUUCUUAUUAGGAUAUGCAGGAAAAUGAGGAAGAACUGGAGCAGGAAAUCUUGGCAAGCUUUGUCACUAGAAAGGAAGAUCCUUUCCAUCCACACAAAAACAUUAAGAUAGUCAUUGAAUGAAGAGAGGUCCUGAACGAUUUGCCCUCAGUUCCAACAGCUU